rnacentral:rRNA from 1 species
UCCUACGGGAGGCAGCAGUGGGGAAUUUUCCGCAAUGGGCGAAAGCCUGACGGAGCAAUACAGCGUGAGGGAAGACUGCCUAUGGGUUGUAAACCUCUUUUUUCAGGGAGGAAUAAAUGACGUGUACCUGAAGAAUAAGCAUCGGCUAACUCCGUGCCAGCAGCCGCGGUAAGACGGAGGAUGCAAGUGUUAUCCGGAAUCACUGGGCGUAAAGCGUCUGUAGGUGGUUUAAUAAGUCAACUGUUAAAUCUUGAGGCUCAACUUCAAAAUCGCAGUCGAAACUAUUAGACUAGAGUAUAGUAGAGGUAAAGGGAAUUUCCAGUGGAGCGGUGAAAUGCGUAGAUAUUGGAAAGAACACCGAUGGCGAAAGCACUUUACUGGGCUAUUACUAACACUCAGAGACGAAAGCUAGGGUAGCAAAUGGGAUUAGAUACCCCAGUAGUCCUAGCCGUAAACUAUGGAUACUAGAUGUUGAACAGAUCGACCUGUGCAGUAUCAAAGCUAACGCGUUAAGUAUCCCGCCUGGGGAGUAUGCUCGCAAGAGUGAAACUCAAAUGAAUUGACGG